AGUGACAGUGAGAUGUUUUGAGGUUAUGCUGAAAGUGGAUAUACGUUAUUCUGACUAGGAACUGGUGUUUUUUUUUGUUUAUCGGUGUCUAAGCAGCGUUUGUGAGUGUUUUUGAAUAUUUGAUAUUUUGUUUUGAAGUGUAUCGAGAGUGACGUUUCCGGGAUGAUGCUCCAGUGAUUUGUGUUUACUUCAGCAAGUAACGGGACGCUUCUACUACACUUCUUGUCGUUGUUUAUGAACCGGACGUGUAAAUAAGUUGCAGAAUGUCACGUAAAUCUCGCCAGGGGUACACCAUUCGUCAUCUUCUACAGUUGCCGAGUACGCGUUCACCGGGGCCUCACCCUCCGCCGCCGGCUAUCAAGGUAAGGACUUCAGUAUAUGCACGAUUAGUAGUGUCAGGUGUGAAGGUGUUGUAAGGAUCUUGAAGCGCGACCUGCUUGUAAAAUAUAAUAUAUGAAACAAUAAUGAGUUUAUCUUUAUACAUAAAAUACAAUAAUAUUAACAGAUCGUUCCAGAAUAUUUAUUUUAUAUAAUAUGACCUGU